ACAAAUUUGUUUAGAAAGUCUCUCAGUUGUGAUUUGGUCCAAUUAAUUUAUUUGGUAGUUAGAAAUGCAGACGGUAUGAUUAUCCUUGGUAUUAGUCGGAAGGCAUUUCAAAUUAGAACCUAACAGUGUGGUGAUCCAAUUCUACCUAAAUCGGGAGAAAUUCAUUCUGUAGUAUUUCGUUGCGUUCCUACUGAAACUGAUAAAAUAAGUCGAUAGAGUAUAUAAAAAACAAACAAAAAGUCAGAUAUUUUCUAUAUACUCUUCUUGGACAAGUUCCUAAUUCUUCUCAUCCUUUAUAGAUUACAUC
rnacentral:sRNA from 1 species